rnacentral:lncRNA from 1 species
UAGAAAACAUAUAUAGCUUAGGUUUUGGAAACACAAACAGUGCUCAAUACCAUAAAGAUGGAUUAGAUAUAUAUGAAAAUAUAUUUAUUUAAUGAUAAACAGUAUUUCAAGUUCAAACGAUAUGUGUAGAUCAUUCAUUAACAACAGGCAGUAUACAGCUGUACAGUAUAACUGUUAACAUUACUGCUUACACUCCAAAGACUACACAGUACACAAUAAAUAAGUAUGUAAUUUUUAUCAAAAAUAUAUUGAAAUGUUAGUAGCAAUUUACUGCUACAGUUCUCUUACAAUAAAUAUUAUGUGACAGGACACAGACACAUUGACACAGGACAAUGUCAAUGUCAAUGUCAUUGCAAGUAAUAAAGCAGGAUUGAUUAAUGUAUGAUUGUAUGUCUAGUGUCAACUCAUUUUACACUAAUGGGUUAAAGUUAUUUAUAAUAAUUUACUUAACAUUAUGUGUGCCAUAUGAAAUGUUUAAUGUGUGCUACAAGCAAUUCACACAAUGUUCAUUGGACAAUGUGUCAUCGCAAGCCAUAAAGCACUAUUGAAUGUGCACCUAACAGUGCGUUCUACUACGCUAAUAUAUUUAAAAUACUAAUAUAGGUGAGUUUCACGUGGCAGUGAAUGGUGGUCAAAGUACAG